AUGCUUUCUUCUCUCGUAGACCGGGAGCCCGCGGUCUACUCUGACGGUAAGAUCCCAGCUCCCCGCUGCGCACCGCCCGGCCCCGAUGCCCCCGGGACGCAGAGGCGCCGCCGCUGUCCUCCGGCCAUGCGGUGGGUGCGGGCCCCGGCACGCGGGAUAGCUCCGAGUUGGCGGCUGCGGGCCCCGGGCGGGUACGGGAGGCGGGGUGCUGCGGGGCUCCGGGCCUGGGGCGGGGGGCUUCCCGCGCCGGGCGCCUGCGGCCCGAAAGGCGGCCCCGUGGGCGACAGGCGCUGCCCGCGAGCGAGGACACGGGUGAGUUGGCCGACGCCGCUGCGGCGGCCCGACUGUCGGCUGCGGGAGGUGGGCACCGCGCGGGUCGGCGGCCCCGGGCCCCGGCCCAUCCUCCCGGGCGCACGGGAGGUAGUGUGCGCGCCGCGCUGCACGCCAGGGAGUUCUCUCCGGCCCAGCUCCCCUCCUCCUGCCCUUCCCCUCGCCGCUAGGCCCACCUCGGCUCCCGCGCCCCCUCCCGCCGCGGGCCGCGGCCUGAGCUUGGGGCUCCGCGUUGGCCGCCGCCGCCGCCGCCCUAGGACUGCUUGGCCCUCCCCCGCCCAGGCGCCGCGCGCGGUGCGAUCCGCCCCAACAUCUGUCCGUCCAGCCAUUGGCACAUCCAUCAGUGUCACCGGGCUGCACAUUGCGGCGACAGCCCGUCACGCACCACACGGGCUAUGCGGCGUGCACACCGCGGCCCGCGCUGCCCCGCUGGGACACGCCGGCGGGGUUCCUGCCCGGCGCGGCACGGCCGGGGUCUCUGGUCUCCCCGGUGUUGUUUCAGCCGCACGCGCCUCCCCCCUCCUCCCCGUGUCCGGGCCGGCACAACGUGAGUGGUUGGCGGUGCGCAUCCAGCCCUCUCCUAUUUCGCCAGGUGUCCUCUGCCCUCUCCAUAAGGGCUGGGUGUGGUUAGCAGCGAAUGGAGGGAGGCUUCCCAAAUGGGCACCGAGUACUGCAUAG
rnacentral:lncRNA from 1 species